AGGCCUAACACAUGCAAGUCGAACGGUAACAGGAAGCAGCUUGCUGCUUCGCUGACGAGUGGCGGACGGGUGAGUAAUGUCUGGGAAGCUGCCUGAUGGAGGGGGAUAACUACUGGAAACGGUAGCUAAUACCGCAUAAUGUCGCAAGACCAAAGAGGGGGACCUUCGGGCCUCUUGCCAUCGGAUGUGCCCAGAUGGGAUUAGCUUGUUGGUGGGGUAACGGCUCACCAAGGCGACGAUCCCUAGCUGGUCUGAGAGGAUGACCAGCCACACUGGAACUGAGACACGGUCCAGACUCCUACGGGAGGCAGCAGUGGGGAAUAUUGCACAAUGGGCGCAAGCCUGAUGCAGCCAUGCCGCGUGUAUGAAGAAGGCCUUCGGGUUGUAAAGUACUUUCAGCGGGGAGGAAGGGAGUAAAGUUAAUACCUUUGCUCAUUGACGUUACCCGCAGAAGAAGCACCGGCUAACUCCGUGCCAGCAGCCGCGGUAAUACGGAGGGUGCAAGCGUUAAUCGGAAUUACUGGGCGUAAAGCGCACGCAGGCGGUUUGUUAAGUCAGAUGUGAAAUCCCCGGGCUCAACCUGGGAACUGCAUCUGAUACUGGCAAGCUUGAGUCUCGUAGAGGGGGGUAGAAUUCCAGGUGUAGCGGUGAAAUGCGUAGAGAUCUGGAGGAAUACCGGUGGCGAAGGCGGCCCCCUGGACGAAGACUGACGC
rnacentral:rRNA from 1 species